rnacentral:rRNA from 1 species
AGAGUUUGAUCAUGGCUCAGGAUGAACGCUAGCUACAGGCUUAACACAUGCAAGUCGAGGGGAAACGACAUCGAAAGCUUGCUUUUGAUGGGCGUCGACCGGCGCACGGGUGAGUAACGCGUAUCCAACCUGCCCACCACUUGGGGAUAACCUUGCGAAAGUAAGACUAAUACCCAAUGACGUCUCUAGAAGACAUCUGAAAGAGAUUAAAGAUUUAUCGGUGAUGGAUGGGGAUGCGUCUGAUAGCUUGUGGCGGGGUAACGGCCGCAAGGCUACGAUCAGUAGGGGUUCUGGAGAGGAAGGUCCCCCANAUUGGAACUGAGACACGGUCCAAACUCCUACGGGAGGCA